rnacentral:tRNA from 1 species
GCCGAAGUGGCGGAAUAGGCAGACGCGCACGACUCAAAAUCGUGUACCUACGGGUAUGUGGGUUCGAUUCCCACCUUCGGCACAA